rnacentral:rRNA from 1 species
GACGAACGCUGGCGGCGUGCUUAACACAUGCAAGUCGAGCGAGGCCCUCCUUCGGGGGUGCCCUAGCGGCGAACGGGUGAGUAACACGUGGGCAACCUGCCCUCAGCUCUGGGAUAACUCCAAGAAAUUGGUGCUAAUACCGGAUGUGACCGCUGACCGCAUGGUCUGGUGGUGAAAGAUUCAUCGGCUGAGGAUGGGCCCGNGGCCUAUCAGCUUGGGUGGGGUCACGGCCACCAAGGCGACGACGGGUAGCCGGCCUGAGAGGGUGACCGGCCACACUGGGACUGAGACACGGCCCAGACUCCUACGGGAGGCAGCAGUGGGGAAUAUUGCGCAAUGGG